rnacentral:tRNA from 1 species
GUUGUUGGAACUACAAAGUGGCUCAUAACCGCUUGGUCCAGGGUUCGAAUCCCUGUGGGGCCACCA